rnacentral:rRNA from 1 species
GCCUACAGCCAUACCACCCUAAACACAUCCCAUCCUGUCUAAUAUUGAAAGCGAAGAAAGGUCAGUCCUGGUUAGUUCUUGGAUAGGAGACUGCUUGGAAAUACCGGGUGCUAUAGGCU